rnacentral:sRNA from 1 species
UGUCCCUGCUUCUGUCUUGUUCUC